CUUUGCCUGACUGAAGUAUUUUAACCUUCAACUCUAAGACAGAUGCCUGCUGGCCCAAGUGGUCCCAAAGCAGUCAUUCGAGAAGCAUGUUUUGCAGCUUAAAAAGAAAAAAAACCCUGAUCUGGUCUGUUGUAUUGAUGAAGAAGAUCUGCUAAUGGGGGAAGGAUGUAGUGUGCAAGUCCACAUGAGAGGAAGGAAAAUCUACUAAACAUUUCUAAAGAUACCAGAGGAUACUAAAGGUUGUGACAGUUUGCAGUGUACAGGCCUCUUCCAUCACGGCUAUGCAGAAUGUUUUGACGG